CUGUAUUUGGUGAGUCAGUCCACCAUGACCCAUAGGCUAUUAUACCCUUGUGAAUUUGGGGGGCUCUCAAUAAAAUCAAUGGUUAUGUGUGACCAAGGUGGGGAUGGUACGGGUAGGGGUCGUAGGAGUCCAGCAGGGUAUUUGUUUUCAUGUUUCACUCUCUGGCAUAAGUCACAUUCCCUCACAAACCUUUUUACAUCUGCCUUAAGUCAAACCUAGUAGAACUCCCUUCGAGCCCUAUGCAUGGUUUUAUCAAAACCAGCAUGACCCCUCUAAGGCACUACUAUGCAUCAAUUCCAGCAAUUUAGUUUCAAAGGAGUCAUCAUUGGGUACAUAUAUUCGGCUCUUGUACAACAACAGACCAUCUCUAAAAGUGUAGUGGGGUGGCAGGGGAUUGGAGACUAACUCCUGAAAUUGCAGAUCCUUCUCACAUGCCAUCAUUAACUCAAUCAACCAAUCUACUGUAGGAAAAGAUAUUAAACAGAGUACAACUUCCUCUGGUUCCACUUUCCUGGAAAGUGCAUCCGCCACGCGGUUCUCCUUCCCCUUUUUGUACUCGACAAUAAAGUCGUAACCCAAUAGUUUAGUUAACCACUUUUGCUGCAUGGGGGUGCCAAUCUUUUGGUCAAGUAGGUAUUUUAGACUUUCUUGGUCAGUUUUGAUUGUAAAGGACUGACCUAAUAGGUAAGGAUGCCACUUGUGCAUUGCUGAAACAAGAGAAAACAGCUCAUUCUCAUAUGUAGAGAGUUGUAAUGCCUUUCCCUUUAGUUUUUAACUGAAGUAAGUAAUUGGUAUGCCCCCUUGCAUAAGUACCGCCCCUACUGCUCCACCCGAGGCAUCACACUCGAUGGUGAACGGUUGGAAAAAAUCCGGUAAGGCUAAAACAAGUGGCUGUGUAACUGUUGCCUUCAGUUUUUCAAAAGCCUCAUGUGCCUCACUUGUCCAUUCAAAGCUGUUUUUUCUAAGCAUCUAAGUUAGAGGCGCUGCUAUAACCCCAUAUCUACGAAUAAACCUCUGGUAAUACCUUGUGAGGCUAAAAAAACCUCUCAGCCCCUUAGUUGAAUUUGGGAGUGGCCAUUGCAGCAUGGCUUGCAGUUUAUCAGGGUCUGCACGAACCCCUUGAGCUGAUAUUAGGUGUCCCAAAUAAGUGAUUUCACUACAACCAACCGAAACUUCGAUAAUUUGGCAAAUAUGUAUUGUUGCCGCAAGGUUUCCAAAGUAAUUUUUAAGCGCUCCACAUGUUCCACCUCACUUCUGCUGUAUAUUAAUAUGUCAUAAAAAAACACCAAUAUAAAUUUCCGUAGAAAAGGUUUAAACACCUCGUUCAUGAGGCUUUGAAAGGUUGAUAGGGCAUUAGUUAGCCCAAAAGGCAUAACUAAAAGUUUAUAGUGCCCCUCGUGUGUCUAGAACACUAUUUUAGGCACAUCCUUAGGCCUCACGCGAAUCUGGUGGUAUCUAGAACGUAGGUCCAACUUAGAAAAAAUUUUAGAACCAUGUAGUUCGUCCAUAAGUUCUUCUACUACAGGGAUAUGGAACUUAUCUUUGAUUGUGACUUGAUUAAGUGCCAUGUAGUCGACACACAUGUGCCAGGUACCGUUCGCUUUUCUAACUAGCAGCACGGGUGAGGAGAAAGGACUUUGACUCAGUCAAAUUACCCCUGAGUUGAGCAACUCCUUCACUAUCUUCUCAAUUUCAUCCUUUUGAAAAUAAGGAUAUCAGUAUGGCUAGACUAAAACUGGACCUGCUUGGGACAACAGUGUAUUUGCAUGAUCAUGUGUCCUAAGAAGGGGUAACUCCUUAGGUUCAGAAAAAACAUCAAAAUAGGCAUGUAACAAUUACUGCACUAGCCCCAUUUCUUGUGGUUGGUCAUUAUUUUUUGUUUCAUAGAGUAAUUGUAAUAACACCCCUCGGGUCUCCAACUUAUGUUUCUUGUUUCUAUCCCCUUCCUCAAUAAGAUGAGAAGCUGCCAAUCCUUUAAUUUCCACGACCUGGUUGAGAUGAUUGAAUUUCAUUGUGAGGUUCUUAAAGUUCUAUAGGAUAGAACUAAGCCCCUUAACCAUUGGAUGCCUAGAACCAUGCCACACCCCGCUAACAUCAAAACAUGCAUGCUGUCAACAAAACUAGUUCCCUGAAUAUUAAAUCUGGCUUUCACACUUUCCUUUCACUUAGGAGUUGUUCACCACUAGCCACCCUCACCCUUACCUUCUUAUCUCGAUUAAUAGGUAGCUGGCCCUUUAGCACUACCACAGGAUCAAGAAAAUUAUGUGUGGAACCUGUAUCAAUUAAAAUUAUAGUCCACUGUGAUCCCACAUUCCCUUUGACCCUCAUAGUUCUUGGGUUAAGGGAACCUGUGAUUGCAUGCAAUAAUAUCUCCAGAUUAGAUUCCACAAUAGAGAGGUCUAAGGUAGCAAGUGGUUGUUCCACUUCUGGUUUAUCCCACAUUUUAUUCUCACCACUAUCUUCCCAUACCUCCUCAAGGAUAUAUAACUUUGGUUUUCAAAACUAGCCUUAUAGUCAUCAACUGAACUAGUUUGGCGUAAUUUAGUAAGUGAUUCCGUGGGAUCAUUGUAGGCAUUAGGGCCAAAACGCACUGACAAUGCAUGGAUGAAAGAAUCCUAAUUUGUGAAAGCUCCAAUUUCCUCCAUAUUUUGGAACCACAUUAAUGCUUGUCCUUCCAUAUGGAAGGAUGCCAAUCUCAACUUAUGCUGGGGGUAAGGUAUUAUGAAAGUUAAAAAAGGGUUUAUCUUAUAAAUCCAUCCAUUAGGAUAUUCCCCAUGAAAUGAUGGAACUCCACUCAAACGGAUUGAGGAACUACAUCACCAAAAACUUCCCUGCGAUUUUCAUGGUGUUGGUGAGUGACUGAAGAUGAUUCGUUCCUCAUUGUACUAACUGUGUGAUUUCUUUUGCAGCUCCACGAUCAACAUUGCUAGCUGGUUGCUGACUUCCCUACACACGACAGUCAUCUUAGUUUCAAGAGUCUUGAACUGAGACUCUGAGCAUUUCUUCAAAUUUGACAUCUCAAAUUCAAUGGCACGAUAUUGGGCAUCUGUGGUUUUUUUUAGGGCAUUGAGCCAUUCUUGUAACUAGUUAUAGCGAGUUCCUUCAGCCAUUGUAUAGAAUCAAGGAUCUUUGAUAACUGAUACCACUUGUAACAAUUCAUACACAAAGAUUAGAAAUAAAGGGGUUUAUCACUUAUAGGGUGAGGGCCUCCAGAUUUAAUCAAGAGGAAGAAGAUGAAAGAAUUGAGGGAAAUAACUAAAUAUCACUUUUUGCAUAAAA